UGUUUUAAGUGGAUGAUUAGUCUUUUUCUAAGUUACCUUUCUUUCAAAAGUUAUAUACAUUUUUCAAUUGUUUUGCUUGUGGUAUAAAAAUAUAUAUUGACGAUCUAUAAAAUAUGCUCAUCAUGUUUUAUUAAAAACCGGCUCCGACCGGCUCCAGACAAUUUCGGAACCUCCUCCAUUCCAACCCAACGGAGCCGGCUCCGCAUCCACGGCUCCGAAGCUGACUCCGCUCCAGCUGCUCCGGAGCCGGCUCCGCACCAACGACUCCAUACUCACGGCUCCGGAGCCGGUUUUUACAGAUUGCUCCAAAAAAAAUCAUUUUCAAUAAAGUUUCAAUCCGGAAGAUGCAUAAUUAGCUGAAUAAAUAAUGUUGAAAGGAAACUAUAGGAAUCUAUCUUUUAAAAAAUCGAUAAGUUUUGUUCAACAAUCACACAAUCACAAUGGGUGUUAGCUUCUACACUUGCGAGAAGAUAGAUUCGUUUUUUACGCUAUCAUACAAUGCCGUCUCUUUUGAAACGGUAGCCCAGAGCCGUUGGUCCUGAGCCGUUGAUUCACCGCCGGCUCCGGAACCAUUGAUUCGCCGCCGGCUCCGGGGCUGUUGGUGCGUAGCCGGCUCCGGAGCUGUUCGUGUGGAUCCGGCUCUGGAGCCGUGGGUGCGGAGCCGGCUUCAGAGCCAUUGGUGCGCUCCAAAACACCCUUUCCUAUUUGGCAGUAACACUAUAACAAAGGUAUGAAUGUGUGUGUUAACCCAAAUAACCAAAUCGUCCUUAACUCACUGCAAAACCACUUCAAACCCUCGUGGGUUUGUGGUGGUCGAUUCACCAAAUUUUAGAACAAUCGGAGCUGUCAGUUCCGAUCCGAUGUAUUUAUCUUGCCCACCCUAAACCCACCUUUUCCAAAAAUGUUUUGAAGAAAAGUUUGGUCAAGGUUGUAGUUUGGAUAGUUUAUAGAGGCUUUGGCUCCAACGAAGUUCUUUCGCCUCUUAAUGUUUAGUCAAGAGUUGGCUAAGGUCAAUAUGCUGGACAGGAUUUUAACUCCUCGGUUGAUUAAAUUCAUUCACUUAUAAUAUUGCUGAAGUUGAAGUGCAGUGAUUUUAGUCUAUAAACUAUGCACUGACCAGCGAAAUGGAAGAGUUCAUUCGCAAGUAAACAAACACAUAUAUACACAUAUUACACAUGUAUGUUUUACAACAAACCAACUUAAACACACACGUUUAAUUACUUCCUUUGCACAAUUAAAUAACAUUUUAACACAGGUGAAACAUGUUGAGCAAAUAAAUUGCCCGUGCAUAAAAAACUGACUUCAACAACAUUGAAGUGGCUGCUUCUGUGGCCGUGUGGCUUAACCCACCAAACUGAUAGUUUUUUUAGCUUUGUUUGAUGGAACUGGAUUUUUAGUACAAGAAAUUGGUGGCGUUUUCGGUAUGUUGGUUAUAUGGAUAACUUUCAGUCAAUUCUAUUUCGUUUGCUUGUAGUGGUUGGUAUAAGUUUAAAAGAGGCGAUUUCAUGCGGGGAACAUGCGGCAAGGCCGGUUGGGGUGUUGGAGUUACAGCACAUUUUUAUUGAAAAAAAUAUUGAUAGGAUUUUUAAAAUUCUAAUUUUACAACAAUAUUUUAUAAAACAUUAUUGUGACCCUGUAAGACAAUUUACAUUCAAAUCUAACCAGUAAUUCAAAAGAUAUACUCUUUUAACCACGAAAAACAUGAUUCUUCUUUACAAAAUGUAUGGCCUACCCGGGUAGGAGGUUGUACAUGUGAAGGGUAUAUUAACUUAAAUAAUUAAAAACAAUAUUUAAACAUUUUUGAUAUUUAUUAUUUUUGGCACAUGGGUAGAAAACAUCUUUUAUGAGGCAUUUUUAAAAUUUCAAGUCGAUACGAUUUUUUAGUCCAAAAAUAUUUUGGAAUAAAGAUGCGAAACUUACCAAGGUAGGCGGUUGUAAACAUGACGGUUAAAACUUUUAAAAUAAAAACUGAUUACUGGAAUAUUAGCUGCCCAUUUUGCCCUACGAAAAUCAUUUUUUAUAAUUUUUUUUAUAUUAUUUUAAGAAACACAUCUAAUGUCUCUGCUUUCAUCAGAUAAAUCAUAUAUAAAAACCAUUUAUUUAUGACAGUACCAUGACAUGACAGUACUUCAAAUGAUUUUAUCGAAAGGUCCCAAAUAACCAAGAUACCGAAAACGCCACCAAUUUCCUGUACUAAAAAUCCAGUUGUAUCGAACAAAGCCAAAAAACUGUCAGAUUGGUGGGUUAAACCACACAUCUCCAGAAGCAGCCACUUCAAUGUUUGUUAAAAUCAGUUUUUUUAUGCACGCGUAAUUCAUUUGCUCGACAUAUAUCACCCCAAAAUGUGUAAUUGUGUAAAGGAAGUAAUGAAACUUGUGUGUUUAAGUUCAUUUGUUGUGAAACAUGUUUGUGUAAGAUGUGGAUGCGUGUGUUUGUUUACUUGCAAAUGGACUCUUUCAUUUCGCUGGCCAGUGCAUAGUUUAUAGAUUUAUAAUAUUGCCGAAGUUAUGUUGUGAUGUAAGUGAAUGAGUUAAAGUAAUCAAUGUGUUAAAUUCGUGUUCGGCAUAUUGACCUUAGCUCGCACUUGCUCCAUCUUUUUAUCGUCAACAUGUUUGGAAAAGGUGGGCCAAGCGUGGGCAAGGUCAAUACAUCUUAUUAGAACUGACAGCUCCGAUUGUUCUAAAAUUUGGUGGGUUAACGACUGAAUCGACCACCACUAACCCUCGUGGGUUUGAAGUGGUUUUACAGUGGGUUAAGGCCGAUUUGGUUAUUUGGGGUCUGUCAACAUUUUGUAUGGGAUUUGAAAGAUAACGCCGGAUGUGCGGUUUCGUCGUUCGACGGAUUGUUUUGUGAUUCCGUUGAAUCAUCGCAUCCGAUUUUAUCUAUCAAUGUAAUUAUUUUAUGUUAUGUUAAUCAAUGUAAUUAUUUUAUGUUAUGUAUUUUAUUAUUUAUGUUUUAUUGAAACGAUCUGAAAAAAAUACCAUCGAAUUCCCAUGGUUAUACCAUAGAGUAAAAAUAAUUAAAUAAACAAAUAAUAAAAUAACCGAAAUGUCAAUCGAAAUAGCACUUGACCGCACGUACAAUAAAGGCCUUAUUAGACGGAGGAAAAUACAGUCAUUUCUCGUUGGGCAUUUAUCUGUCAAACUAAGACUUUGGCACAAAAAUACCUCUCGUACGUGUAAUAAGGCAAGAUAAUUGUUCUGUCACCUUUUAUAUUUAUUAUUUAAUUUAUUGAUUUUGUUUGGUUUCAUACGAAAGAAUCAUUCAUUGUUUCCCAUGUUUGUUGUUUUGAUUCAUCAUUAUCAGAUUAAGAUUCAGAUUAAGAAUCAGAUCAGAUUAAGAAAUUCAAUACGCUCAUACCGACAUUGACAGUAGAAAUCUACUCUCGAGCAAAUCGGAAUUGAGCAUGCUGAAUUCCGAUCUUCCGACUGGCAUCUAUCUGUCAAACCCUGUUUGAAGGAUAGAUUCCAAAAUCGAAUGACAGUACAGUCUGUUCCCGAGUUACGCGGUUUCUGCGUUCCCGACGAAUCCGCGUAACUCGAAUAUCCGCGUAAGUCGAAUUUCACGUUUUUUGACUAAAAUACUAUUUAUUACUCGCAGUUUUCGAUUUAAAUUAAUACUUUUAUACACUUUAUCAUCUAUGUGAUAUGAUUUGUGCAGAAAAUUAUAAUAUUUCUGGCUUUUAAGCUGUUUCAAUUUGUUAGCAAAAGUGCAAUUUACACCGAAGUUGAAGCAAAUUGUACUGAUUUGACAUUUAAUCUGUCAAAUUUAUAAAACCGCGUAUCUCCGAAUCCGCGUAAGUCGAGAACCGUGUAACUCGGGAACAGACUGUAUUUUCCUCCGUCUAAUAAGGCCUUAAAAUCUCAUCGGAUGACGGAUGACUGCCACAGACCAAAGGAUUCUUUUCGAAAUGGUCUCGAAAAUUAAAAAAAAAAAACAACAACAUUUUGUUGAUGUGUAUUUUCUUCAUAUAAAAAUGUAUUUUCUUGAUUUUUUUUAAUUGUGGGUUGUGAAACUUACAUGAUAAAGGCAAAAAUAACGUCUGAAACGAUCUUAAUACGAUUUUCAGUGUUGGAAUCUAUCCUUCAUAUUAAAAAAAAGUCAUAAAUAAAGGUUUCCCAUUUUGCCCCAUUUUCACAACUUUCUACGGUGUUCGACCAUUUUCCCGAUUUUAACGAACUCUGACUGCCGUUUUUUUUCUGGACCGGUUUGUGUCUGAAGUACGUAGGGUAAGUGUACCAGUUUUCGGCAGUGUACCUAUUUUCGGCACGGUAGCUAAAAACGUGAAAUUGCAGUGGUAAAAAAUUUCAUAAAACACAAUUUUGUAGUGAAAGUGUAAUUAUUUGAUAUUCACAUACGAAGUUUCACACCAUUUCAUUACGUAUUUUUCAAAAUAUCAAAUAAAUUGUGCUUUUUUUCGGCAGCUUUGCUGUCAGCCAAUGGUUCGGCAGGUUUUGUGAUUAAGAGAAUCAGAACAGUAAAACAAUGAAAAAGUGGUGUAUAUUAAAGAGUUUAUGCUUGUUUAAUUUAUUCUAACUAGUUCGGAAUUUUAAAAUCACGAUAAACAAGUUAUUUUUCAUUUUAAAUGCUGCCAAAAAUAGGUACACAGUAAAUGUUCAUUUUUGACAGCUCAAUGUUGUGUGCUCCUGCCGAAACUCGGAACAAUAACACAUCUUGGAUUUGGCUGAAUAUUUCUUUAAAAAUUUAUCAGAACACUACAAUGCGUAUGUCGACACAUAAUAUGACCUUUCUUGUACCAAAUAUCACCAAUUUUACGACAAACAAUGCACUAACUUAAGAGAAAAAUAAAUAUUUGUAAGCCAGUUCGCACCCUACGCUAUAACCAUCAAACUGUCAAUGGCUGCUCUGUUUAAACGUCGCACCAAAAUGGCUGUCAAAAUGGGCCAAAAUAAGCAACAUAAAAUUAUUAAUUAAAGUGCUUUUUAACAUCAGUAUUAGGAAAGUAAGAGUGUAAAACUGCUUUAAACAUUUUUUGUACAUAUUUACAUAGAUAGAACAUUUUCUGACCCGUAUUUGCGCUGCCGAAAAUAGGAACACAACCUGCCGAAAAUAGGAACAAACUGCCGAAAAUAGGAGCAAAAGCAAUGUUUGCAUUUUUACGAAUAUUUAUGAAAAAGAGCUUUGAACCGGCAAAUAAAAGAUAUUGUAACAUAUUAUGAUAGUUUAUCAAUCAGAAUAACAUCUCUUUCAUGAAAAAUAGUAAAAAAUGUUAAUUUGUGAGCAGUUUUUGUGAAACUGCUGCACUAGCGUGCCGAAAACUGGUACAGUUACCCUACGUGACACGAGGCGUGAACCUUGGCGAAAACUGGAUUUCAGCCAUACAACCAAGGUGGAAUAUAGAGGAGGUGUCUUCUUAGCGUUUGGCAUGUUGCCAUUUUGAGAUUCAGUUUGACAAUAGCCGUCGAUAUUUGUUUACAGGCAGCAGCUGAAUUAUAACGUGUAAAAUGCCGAUUUAUGGAGUGUGGAUGCAAAAUUUAUUUUUGCAAACGAAAACAAUUCAUUUAUCAUAUCCAAAUACGAGCAACAUUCGUCGCAUUUGACAACUGCCGUCGAUCCUGGUUUUGUGCUUUUUUCUAAAGAAAGAGGCGAACGAACUCCGCAGGAGCCAAAGCCUCUCUAAACCAUACUAACAACAACAACAACUUUUUUCUAAAGCCUCGAUGCCCAAUUGUUCUACAUGACGACACCUCCUUUCUACCCACUAUGCAUACAACCCUAUAAUCUUUUGACGGAAAUUUUACCCUCUCGCACACAAAUCAAGCGUAGCGGAAUUUGGGGCAAGUGUGCCAUACGGGGCAAGAGUGCCACCAAGCAUUUUUCCUUAAAAACUUAAGUUUAAUGAUCAACUGUGUAUACAGUUGGUUGCUUUCCAAUGACUAGGUAUACUGAGCCGAAUUUCAUAUAGAUCAAUCGAUAUUUCCCAUUGUUUUGAACUGAUUUGUGUUAAGUUUCAAAAUUGAGCAGAAUACUAUAAUUUUUUAAUUCAACCAAAUAAGCUCUCACAAAUCAUGCGAACAAUCAACCGAGAAAAUAUUUACACCACCGUAUAGCUGAGAAAACGUGAAAUUUUUUGUGGGGUUAGUUGAAAAAAAACUUUCUUUUUGUCACUGAAAAAUUCAAUUUCAAAAAAGUUACAACUUUUGGGGCAAGUGUGCCAUCUCUGUUUGGGGCAAGUGUGCCACCAUCUUUCAUAGGCGCGAGCUGUCAAAAAUGUAAACAUUGUUGCAGCGUGCUGCGGAAUCCCAAGCGAAAUUUUUCGGGGAUAAUGAACAUAAACUCAUGCCAUCUCUUUCUAUUCAUCAGCUCUACUCUCUCACACGCAUCGAUGAACUUUUACACAUCUCUUUGUUCAUUGUGCUAUAUUUGAAGGGUUUAAAACUGAUAGAUAACGAAUCAUGUUCAUGAACUAGUAGUGGUCAAAUGGUAGUGGUGUAAUGUUUGCACCAUGGUCGACAUGAGUUCAAUUCCAUUUUUAUUGUUUCCAUUGAUGAUUUUAAGUUUUGAUUUCUUUUUAAAACAUGCAGCUCCAGUAACUUCAGACCCCUUUACUCAUUGUUAGCAAUGCGUGUUUAAUAGUCAAUCUAUUAUUUUUAUUGUUUUAUUUAUUUCUUUUAGUUCAUUUAGUAUUAGUACCCCUGCAUACAACAAAACAAGCAAAUAGCACGAUCAUGAAUAAUAAUAUGGUGGCGCAACUGGCAAAGUGAUUCGAAGUAGAAUUAGCGAUGUGGUUGGUAGCAUCAAGGAUGAAGCAUGAGCAUGAAUUGGAAUAUGAGGGAAGGGAAUGAAUCCGAAUGUUCAUUUCUAUUUUUAGCUCUUUUUUGCAUGGGUUCAUCCUUCACGUGUGUUCACUAUCCCCGAAAAUGAUCUGUAUUUCGCUGGUCUUUUCGGGGAUAAUUCGUUAACGAAUUAUCCCCGAAAAGACCAGCGAAAACCAGCGUGGUCGGGAGCUUGGGAUGGUGCGCUAUUGUGAGCGGAUUCCACGCCAGAAAAACAGAACAGUAACAAACCAUAUUGUGGUACAGUUGGUGGUCAAAAAGGGUUCAUUGGUGACUAAAUACAUGUAGGAAUACAUACACUAGUGGUAAAAACGUAAUAAUUUCCAAUUAUCUAAGAAAUACGGUUAUUUUAACCAGGUGGCCGUCUUGCCCCAUACGAGUGGCACUCUUGCCCCAUAGCCCAAAAAACAACGUCUUUUUGGACCCUUUUUAAAACGCUUCAAAAACUGUUUUAUUUGCACUUUUUUCAAGCGAACCUCAUUUAUAAGUGAGGAAAUAGAUGUAAAAUGGUUAUGAGAUUUAAACCGGCUAUUGAAAAACACGUUUUAGUGAGUUAUAACUUGAAACGCUUAAGGUGGCACACUUGCCCCAAGUUCCGCUAAGCUUUUUGAGUUUACGCUCCGUGUGACGUUGGUAUGACGGGGUCGGCAGAAUUUGUUUUCAGAAUAAUCUGAACUCACUGGUUGAGCAUCGAUUGUGUGCCAACUAUUGAUUGGGUUAUUGCGAAGGGAAAGCUCGUUUACUGAAACGAUUUACAGGCCACUUAAAUUCUGCACUAUGCCGCCCGAUUCAUACUUCACAAGGCUCGAAUAGAAAUUAUAGUGCUCAAUUGAUGGUUUACGUCGCCCGAAAAAGUAUAUACGGCAACCGAUAACGCCUUGACGAUGCCGGAUUGGCUAGCGUUUCCAGUCCAAACAAAAACCAACUAUAUCCAUGUUUUAUGUUGUUUGAUGCAGUUUUCAUACUGUCAUUUGCCACAAUACGUUAUG